AGUGAACGCUGGCGGUAGGCCUAACACAUGCAAGUCGAACGGCAGCACAGUAAGAGCUUGCUCUUACGGGUGGCGAGUGGCGGACGGGUGAGGAAUACAUCGGAAUCUACUUUUUCGUGGGGGAUAACGUAGGGAAACUUACGCUAAUACCGCAUACGACCUACGGGUGAAAGCAGGGGAUCUUCGGACCUUGCGCGAUUGAAUGAGCCGAUGUCGGAUUAGCUAGUUGGCGGGGUAAAGGCCCACCAAGGCGACGAUCCGUAGCUGGUCUGAGAGGAUGAUCAGCCACACUGGAACUGAGGCACGGUCCAGACUCCUACGGGAGGCAGCAGUGGGGAAUAUUGGACAAUGGGCGCAAGCCUGAUCCAGCCGUACCGCGUGGGUGAAGAAGGCCUUCGGGUUGUAAAGCCCUUUUGUUGGGAAAGAAAAGCAGCAGGUUAAUACCCCGCUGUUCUGACGGUACCCAAAGAAUAAGCACCGGCUAACUUCGUG
rnacentral:rRNA from 1 species